UGCUUGGGGGAGAGUCCAUUCAUUCAUUCAGUUAACAUAUUGAUUGAUUGCUUACACUAUGCGUGAUAGGCAUUGUCUUAGUGCCAGGGAUACAGCAAUGAUAAAUGGACAAAAAUACCUUUUCUGUGGGAGCUGAUAGACGGUAAGCAGUAUAAGUAAAACAUACAGUAUGUUAGUUGGUAAAAACAUGUUAUGGAGGAAAUGAUAGCAGGAAAAAGGGAUAGGGAAUGCAGUAGGGUAGAAUCUUAAAUAAAUGGGCCAGAGAAUACUUCACAAAGAGAAACAUAAUUUGAGGAAAGACCUGAAAAAGGUGAGGGAGAGAGACAUAUGGAUGUCUUGGGGAGAAGCAUUUUAGGUAGAGGAAACAGGGAUUUCGAAGGCCCUGAGGUAGAAAGAUGUUUGACAUGUUUGAGGACCAACAGGAAGGUCUGUGUGGCUGGAACAGAAUGAAUGAGAGAGUGGAACAAGAGGGGCCAGAGUAUAAAGGGCCUUAUAGGCUCUUGUAAAGGACUUUGGCUUUUACUCUGAGGGAAUGGGGAACCUUUGGAGGGUUCCGAGCAGAGGAGAGAUGUGAUCUGAGUUAGAUUGUUGAGAAUAGACUGAAAAGGAACAGGGCAGAAACAGGCCUUCACAGUAAUUAAGCAAGAGGUGGAGAUAUUGGGGAAUUACCAGAUUCUGAAUAUAUUUUGGUGGUGGCACCAAUCUGAUUUGCUGAAUGGAUUAGAUGGGAGAGUAAGAGAAAACUAAAAAAAUGAUGGAAUGGCUGGCUAUGCAAGGAAACACAUACUACCAUUGCCCCACUGUUAAUUGUCAAAGUAGAGAUAGCUUAUGGCUUGAAAUACUGAAAACUUUAAAUAUACAUGAUGUGAUUUUCAUAAGUGUGAUUAUUAUAAGAAGUAUUUUAGAUUUGUAUUGCUGUAUAGUUAUGUCCUUAAUAUGCAGUCUUUCUGCCACCCUCAUUCCUUCCCCCUGCUCCCCAUUGCCAUCAAUUCUGCCAUAUUCAUAUUUUGUGUCUAGUUUGGUUUGGGUCUGAAAAGAAAACUGAAAGAAAUUCAAAUCUUAUGUGCAUAAAAUGAUGUGGGGAAUCUCUGGUGCUUUUCUUAUCAGCUCAUUGACCAUAGUUAACCACAAAAUCAUCAAACAGCAAAAUAGCUUUGAUAACUAAAAGUUUACUCCUUACCACUCUGAUACAAAUUUUCAGGGCUCAUUUUUUUAAAAAGGGUUCUAUAUUUUUACACCAUGCUUAAUUAUUGUUUCCCUAUUUAUUCUCUCUUGGCAUUGCAUUGGUCAGAAUAUAAAUCAAAAAUUGAUACGAGAUUCCUGGGUCCAUGUAGCAAUUUUUUGUCAAUUUUAUUAUGAAAUUUUCAAACCGACAAGAAAAGUUGAGUUUCACGUGAACAUCCAUGUACUUACCAUGCAGAUUCUAUAAUAAUUUUAUUAUAUUUGCUCUCAUAAUUAUCCAUCUUCCUAUCAACCCAUCUUUAAAAUAUAUAUUUCAAAGUAAGUUCUGGACAUCGGUAAAAACUGCUUGCAUAUCAUUAACUAGAACUCAGUAUUUGUUCAUAGUUCUUUUUUGGCAUAAAAUUUAUGUUAUGAAGUACACAGAUCUUAAGUGAACCAUUCCAUGAGUUUUAACAAAUACAUCUGUGCAACUUCUCUAGAGAUACAGAGCAUAAGCAUCAUAGCAGCUUAUUCCCCUCAUAUUCUUCCACAUACAAUCCCUGACCCCUCCUUGUUUACAACCAUUUUUUAAUUUCCCCCCACUGUUAAUAGCAUUUUUAUAAACAUUAUAAACAUCUCUUCUGAUAAUUACUUUCCAAAUGGUUCGUUGUUAUUACCAUCAUCAUUUGCAUUCAUUGUCACUUCUAUUAGGAGGAUAAGUUUAAUUGACAUUAGGAAACUUCUCAAGUUAGAAGUUGGAUUUAUCUGUUAGCUUUGUCUGAAAUGUGACACUUGGAUACCACUGCCUAGAAACGACGCUGGGAUACAGAGGGCAUGGCUCCUGGUAAAAAUCUUGUGGGAAUUAACAAGUGAGAUUUUGCAAACCUAACAGAUAAAUCCAACUUCUAGUUUGAGAUUGGAUUUCCCCUGAAUGCAUCUGUUCUCUUACUUUGCCAUUCACACCUACUCUCUUGUUGAGGGCAGUAGGCCUUGGCUUGGUGGUGGUUCAUUCCAGGUCUGGGGUGAGGAAGAAGAGAAGGGAACAGAAAGUGUUGCUCUCAUCACAUGCCUUCAUGAACCAAUGAGGGGGUAAGCAUAUCAUUCUUAGUGCCAGAACCCAGUGAGGAACAGCUGGUGGCUGGGUAGAGCAGUAAAAGUGAUGUGUUUUCUCAGGAAAUGUUAUUGGCACAUCCUGACUACUGAUGCUUCUCCCCUAUGUAUUAUGUUGGUGGACUGACUACCCAGUUCCCAGUCCCAACUUUCUGAUUAAAUUACGAUUGGUGAUUUAGGCCACCUGGAUCUUGGCUCUGCCAUUUUCUUCUUUCUUAUUUGAAUUAUACUUUUAAUUUGUCCCUUGAGGACUACUAGAAAGAUUGCUGUUUUUCUAAACUUUCACAUAGAUUUUUCAAUUUAAUCCUUGUAGUAUUCUAGAUUAUAUUUUCCAUAAAUGCUGCUUCUACAAACAUCCUAUGUGAUAAAAGGCUAAUAUGCAAAUUGAUCAAACGGCAGAACGACCCGUCGCUAUGAUGUGCACUGACCACCAGAGGACAGACGCUCAAUGCAGGAACUACCCCCUGAUGGUCAGUGUGCUCCCACAGAGGGAGUGCUGCCCAGCCAGAAGUCGGGCUCACAGGCUGGAAAGUGCAGCGGUGGUGGCAGGAGCCUCUCCUGCCUCUGCAGCAGUGCUAAGCCAGACAUCCCUCAAGGGCUCCUGGACUGUGAGAGGGUGCAGGCCAGGUUGAGGGCCCGCUAUCCCCCGCCCCCCUGAGUGCCUGAAUUUCGUGCACUGGGCCCCUAAUACACAUACUAAGAGUUCCAAAAGGCAGAGAGAGAGAAGAAGGAACAGAAAGAAUAGUUGAAGAAAUAUGGCUGAAAAUUCGCCAGCUUUAAUGGAAAAUAUUAAUCCUCAUAUCUAAGAUCAAUGAAUUCUAAGUAGGGAGAAAAUCAAUGCGAGCCAUACCAGACACAUGAUAAGCAAACCACUGAAAGACAAAGAAUCUUGAAAACAGUAAGACAAAAAAGUGACUUACCAUAUACAAGAGAUUUUCAAUAAGGUUAAAAGCUGACAUUUCACCAGAAAUGAUGGAAACUGGCUACCAGUGGUAUUAUAUAUUCAAAGUAUUGAAAGAAUAAGAUGUCAAACAAUAAUUAUAUAGUGAGAAAAAAAAAUAUAUAUAUAAAAUAAAAAAGGAAGACAUUCCAAGGGAAAUAAAAACAGGGAAUUUAUUGCUAGCAGAUUUUCCCUAAAAGGAAUCUUUUGUGCUGAAAGGAAGAGACACAAGACAGUAACUUGAACCUACCUGAAGAAAUAAAGAGCACUGAAAAAAAUAUAUACUUAAGUAAAUAUGAGAAUAUAAAUUAUUUUUUGUAACUAUUUUUACCUACUAACUUAAAAAUGGCCUAUAAAGAAAAAUUGUAAAACUAUAUUUUGGGGCUUAUGCAAAUAAAUAAUUUAUGACAAUAAUAGUACAGAGAAGGGAGCAGGGAACAGAGAUAUAUAUUGGAGCAAAGUUUUUGUCUAUUAAUUAAAUUAAAUUAGUAUUAAUUUGAUCACUUUUUGAUGUUAUUGUAUUUCCUAGGGCAAUCACUAAAAAAUAAACUACUAAAAAUA